UAAAUCGUAUAAUAAUGAAUGUUUUUUUAGUUGGGGCUAGUGCAGAGAUGACAGAGAAAAUGUUUGAGUGAGAGAGAUGAAGGAGAAAGGGUUGAGAGGAAUGAAGGAGGUGAGUAAGGGUUUGAGGUUUUCUUUUUUUAGUUUUGAGAAUGAAAAUUAUUAAAAUAAGGCAAGUGUUUGUGAUUUUUUUUCAAUUGGAGCUAGAGUAGGGAUCACAGAGAAAAGGUUGGAGUGAAAGAGAUGGAAGAGAGAUGAUUG
rnacentral:lncRNA from 1 species